UAUGUGAUCGUCUCUCGCAUAUCAAUAAGCGGAGGAAAAGAAACUAACAAGGAUUCCCCUAGUAACGGCGAGUGAAGUGGGAAGAGCUCAAAUUUGAAAUCUUAAAGGGUUUCCCUUUACGAAUUGUAGUUUAAAGAAGUGUUUUCUGUUGAGGUUUUGGUAAAAGUUCUUUGGAAUAGGACAUCAUAGAGGGUGAGAAUCCCGUAUUUGACCUUUACUUUCAACUUUGUGAUACACUUUCAAAGAGUCGGAUUGUUUGGGAAUGCAGUCCAAAAUGGGUGGUAAAUUUCAUCUAAAGCUAAAUAUUGGCGAGAGACCGAUAGCGAACAAGUACCGUGAGGGAAAGAUGAAAAGAACUUUGAAAAGAGAGUUAAACAGUACGUGAAAUUGUCAAAAGGGAAGCGUUUGACACCAGUGUUGUUUUUCUGAAAAUCAAUUAAGGAACUGUUUAUGCUAAGUUGUUUAGACUUCAUCAGCUAUCUGUUUAGUUUUGAGCUUUUCUUUAAUGCACUUUUCCAGUUAACAAGUCAACAUCAAUUUCUUUUGCUGUAAAAAAGCUUGAGGAAGGUGGCUUGAGAUUCGUCUUAAGUGUUUAUAGCCUCUUGCCUAUGCAGUCGGAGAGAUUGAGGUCUGCAGCGUAGAUCCUUCGGGGCUAAAUGCAUUUGUGCUAAGUUAUAGCAUUUUAUAGACAACUUGUUGACUAUGAUUUGUCUUGUAGCUUACUCGCUUAUGUUAUUUUACCUACGCUUAGGAUGUUGAGUAGCGACAUACGCAC
rnacentral:rRNA from 1 species